CUGGGAUUAGAUACCCUGUUAUUAAAAAAGUAAAAAAAAAUAAAUAUUGAGUAGUAUGUGAUAUAUUCUUAAAACUUAAAAAAUUUGGCGGUAUUUUAUUCUAAUUAGAGGAACUUGUUUUAUAAUUGAUAAUCCUCAUUAUAUCUUACUUAAUUUUAAUAUUUGUAUAUCGUCGUCAUAAGAAUUUCUUAAAAAAAGAAAAAAUUUUCUAAAAUUUUUAUUAUAAAUUAUGUCAGAUCAAGGUGCAGUUUAUAAUUAAGAAAAAAUAAGUUACAAUAAAUAUAUUUAAUAAAUGAAUUUAAAAUUUAAAAUUUUAUUGAAAGUGGAUUUAAUAGUAAUAUUAAUAAAAAAGUUAAUUUGAUUUUAGAUCUAAAAUAUGCACAAAUCGCCCGUCACUCUCUG
rnacentral:rRNA from 1 species